rnacentral:misc_RNA from 1 species
GCUUUUACUUUCUUUUUGCUAUCAUUAGAUAUUGAUGUUGAUGUUAAUGUGUAUGAUAAAGCAGUUUUAGAUGAAUGCUGUUGACAAGUGUGUCGAGAAAGCAGAUUUCUGUUAAACCGUCGGAGUUCGGAGUUAUCCAUGAAUUGUUUGUGAACAGUAGUUAUCUUUCUUGAGAAUGAUCUUUCGCGCGUAAGAGUAAAAAUAAUACCAGUAGUUAAAAAUUACAGAAUUUCGGAUUGAUCAACGAUCGACAAAGUUCGAUGUGAUGUCUUGCACAAGCAAAUGAAAAGUUCAGGUAGUGUUUUGGUGAGCUACAUGAACUUACAGCGUCAGUCGCUACACUCGAAAGGUUUCGUUCUCAUCCGGAUAAACGACACGAACGGUGUUGUGAAACCGUUUGACUCAACCGGAUAGGAACAGACGACUUGUCGCCAUUAAUUGAUGCACAUAGAGAGCAAGCGAUUCUUUUGCUGCGAGCAUCAUGAGUUCGGAGACUGGCUCCAACGCCUCGUUCGCUUUUGUCGCCAGCUUUGAUGAACAAAGAAACAACUUCGCUUUCUACCUGGGCGGUGUGAUGGCGGCCAACUUUUUUCUUAUUCUCUUUGUUUCUUUCAUUCACAGAAGGAAACUUGCUGCAGUUGUUGUGCUGAGCAAACCCGGAGAGCAAUGGAUGGUUUACGAGUAUCUUGUGGUGCUGAAAACCUCCCUUAAACUAUGUGCUAGCCUGUCGCAUCACGGCCGAGUGAGUGUUCAGCUUCUAGGAAAUUUUCAGAACAGUCAAUGGUUCCAUCUGCGUCAGGAGGCCGUAGCACAGAAUAUUCUUAAACGCGGUCACACUGACACGUUCGUCGUGCACACUGCAGUGGAUCUUGGUGAGCUUCAGUGUGUCUCGAUCAAGCUAUCCAGCUGGCCGACUGGGUGGAAGGUUACCUGGAAACCGUGUUUCGUAGAAGUCAUUAGGUGCAGCAACCUGGAGCGAUGGGGAGCAAAAAUCUCCAGGGUCAUGAAGUGCAAAACAUCUGAAACUUGGACGUACGACCUGCUCAGAAACAAACGUGAGCGCAUGUCUUUUAUGAAGCUGCUGAUGAUUAACCAUUCCUGGCUUGCGCUGUUCAAUAACCCCCAUCGACUAGGUGCCUUUACCAGCAUCACCAGUGUCGUCGUCUUCUUCUUCACUAAUGCAGUGCUUCUGAUCACAACACUCUCUGCCUACAUCUUUGCUCACAUGUUGACAGAGGACACGAUGGCAAUGUACAAUCGCUCCGAGGAUGAUGUCAUCCUCUGCUCGGUCUGCAGCGCAGUCGUUUUGGGCUUUGUGCAGGUGCUGGAAUUGGUCCUGCGGAACAUUCGGCCUUCACGCGUCCGUCCGAACCAGCCAGCCUGGAAUGGACUGUGGCAUCCCCAGUUUCCUGUCAACCCCGAGUUCCUCGACAUCACGUAUGAGUGGGACCGCCGGGUUAAUGUCGUCUCUUACGUGGAUCAAAGGACAGCGUCGAUGUCCUCGCUUAUCUCUACCGACAGUUCGUUAUCGUCAUCUUCAUCUGAAUGUUUAUCUGAUGGUACUGUGCCUAUAAAUGUACCUGAGGUGCCUGAACAGAGGACGUUUUUUAGAUUUUUGUACGCUGACUCCACAACAAAGAAAAUUCAAGAUCACGUCAAGAUCGCCAUGGAUCAGAUUGCUGGUCGAGAGGUCUCGGGUGCGGUCUCGCUUCGGAAUCGUUUUCCCAACCGUAGGGGUAAACCGCUUCCAAGGUUCGAUUGGAAUUGCCCUUUGGACAUCAUAGAGGUCGAGCCCAUAGGACAGGAAUCUUCACGUAAAGAAUGUUUCUUCUGUCUUUGGAUAAAAACCCUUCCUGUCAGGGGCACAACUCUGCAACACUACAGUAUGCGGCUGGUACGCAACGUCCGACGUUCCUUUCGCGCGCUGGCGGCGAGUGAGACUCCCAACCUGACGUCCCUCUUGCUGGUCAUGUGCAUCCACCAGUGGCUCGCCUCCUUAAGCUGCCGCUUGCUGCGGGAGGUGGUGAGGCGCCUGGAUAACAGGACACCUCAGGUCCUGGCUUACCUUUACAAACGCCUCCUAAAUGAGGAAAGUAUUCUGUGGUUUGCGGAGCUGGGCUUUGCUGACGUCAGACCCGUGGCUUCAAUGGACGCGCUGCAAAGUAAGCGAAAUGUGAAGGAGUCGUACGAGACGGAGCGCCUGACAAACUUGUGCUCCAACUUCUACAUCGCCAUCCUGCGCUACCUAGCCUUUGUAUCCUACACCAAGGAUCACGACAUCUUUUUUAGAAAUCGUGCAAAACGCGAUGACUCUGAUAGUUCCGGAUCAGACGACUAUAAUGAUAGCCACAUUGUCUCCAGAAGGAGGAUGAACAAGCGGCGAACAAAGCAGCGAGGCAGUGGUCCCGACAGGGGCCGGGAACAUGAGAAGAAAGAAGAUCUAGGAAAUACUGUCCAGGAGGGUAAAUCAUUAAACGGUAGUUCGGGCGACGAUGUGGAUUUUGUAAAGAACGCACCCUUGUCAUGGAGUUCGGGUUCUUGCCUGUCUCUGCAAUCAUCCGAGUAUGACUUUCAAUGCUUAGUGCACGUGCAAGAUGUCGAGCAAGAGGCAAGUCCGGUCGCUUCUUCGUCACAUCUUGACGUGUUUGAGGUUGACGUUUUACAGUUCGACGACGAAGUCUUUCAGCCGACGUGCGAAAAUGGCGAUAAGAUCAAGCAAGCCAGGGACAGAUUCCCUACCAAUACGAACAAACAUUUCGAAUUUUUCAUGGAUCAGGACAUAGAUGACGCGACCAGACAGCACACAGAAGCAAAACACCUGUUGACAAACUCUGACGAUUCCUUUCCCUGUGUUCGUAAGAAAGCUGUACCAGGGAAAAUGGAUCGAUUAGUUCGAUUCAAAACAGAUGAUUCCAAUCCUCGCAGAGAAGUCUUACCUUGGCAGCAAAGGGAGCACGUUCCUAGUAACAUCGAUCCGAACGGAAGGAAACUUAACUCCCAGGAAACAGAUUCCCGUGGACGUGAAAGGGUUUCGGCUAAAAGAAGCCGUGAGUAUGGCUGUGUUGGGCUCAGGGAUCAGUUUUCAGUUCAAGUAGAAACAUAUGUGCCGAGUGCAAAAAAGAAGAGAGAGCAAGAGGAAACUAUGUUUAAACCAGUUGCAACUUGCAAAACCGAUAGAAUUCCUUUCAGAAAAAAGGAAGAAUGGCCAACAGAAAAAACUGUUUUUUCUGACUUGGAACUUUCGAUAACCGCGCACGGUGGUGAAAGGAAGAGACUUGCCAACGUCUCCAACAUUGAAAACUGGACGAAACUGGGAUUGCCUCAGCGUGGCAUGAAUAUAUCAAUGGAAAUGUUUCCAAGGCAAACGUCUCUUGGAAGAAGCACCAGCAAUCUAGAAGAAAGUGACGCAAGUGAUAACUCAGAUUCUGACUCUUUGAAUACGUUCAUGGUUGACCUCACAGAAAGGGACAGAAGCAACUCGUCCUUGUACAGUGCUAAGACAAGACGGACCAUUAGACAAGGAGGCAGCGGCAAGAAAUAUCUGGCAGGCCGCCGAUACAGGGGCUCAGAAAAGAAAAGAAAAUAUUCUUUGCCACAGACAUUUUCAUCGCAGUCAGUCAGCAAGCAAAGACGUUUUCACGACAGGGUUAAGUCAAUGGGACGCAAAGACAGCCGUACAGUCAGAUUCAUGCAAGGUUCACGGGUUGAUGCCCGUUCGACCUUUCGAACGUUGCGCCUCAGUGCGGCUUUUGAUGCGAAAUGGAAUCUCCCUUUGAAAAAUGUGUGGCAGGACACCAGAAUUUUUCACAAGCAAUCUCAAAGUACGAUACCCCGAGCGAACUUGACUCUUGUUCACUCGCUGUGUUCCAGCUUUUAUAACUGCUCAAACGAGUGCUACUUUACGGUGGAUUCGGCUAUGGGCAUUUCCUGCACGUGCUGCGACUACCCGCUGUGCCAGACGUACGCCGUUGUGUUCAGCCUCUUUGGAAAGUACGCCUCGAGCAUUCUGACUCGUCUGCUGCCGAAAGUGAACUCGCAGCUUGUUUCUAUGCAAUCAGCUCAUCAGACAUAUCAUCUGGCGCUUCGCCCAUCUCAUUCUCCUUCUGCCCUAAGAAAACAUCACGCUGCAUGGAAAGCAAUGGAGAAAAGUCUGGAGAAAAAAAUGGGGAAAAAAGUGUUUGAAUCCUCAUUGAAAAUGCGCCUUUUUUUAAAAAGAAACAAGAAUAAAUCUGCCAACGCUAACUGUUGUUCUAGUCAGUCGAGCAGCACAACGUCUUCGAGCUCGUCGGAAUCCAAGGCAUCCUCAAAGAAAAUGAACGUUUCUUUAAAAUCAAACGAGAAUAAAUUUGCCAAGGCCAACUGUUGUUCUAGGCAGUCGAGCAGCACGUCUUCAAGCUCGUCGGAAUCGAAGGCAUCAUAUGUUAGUACCAUGUGGUCUUCUGCCUCUAUCGAUCCCGAGGUGCUGGACAACGAAGUUAUACUCAUGGUUGAGGCUGUGAUUGAAGAGGCAAAGGAGGAGUUAUUUGAAGAGGUCUGCUAUCUGUUGGUGACGAAAACCAUCCUUGCCCAAGUUGUAGGUGAGGCCAGGGUGGAGAUUUCAAGGGAACUCAACGACCCUAUUCAGGUAGCUGUACGCAAGUUCUCCCACGCAAAAAUCGUGAGUCUCCUUCGCGCCCUGCUGCCCCAUAACUACGAAGAAGAUGAGAUCGUGACUCCUGAUGAAAUUCGACGACGGCGUCGACAACGGAGGCGCCGAAGCGAAAGGCACUACGAUCUGCGAGCACCGCCGAGAAUACCAUGGGGCUAUGAGGUUGUGGAGGACGUGUUGGAGAUGCUGACGUCGCGCUGGAUGCUGAACCUGGAAUACAACACCCACGCCUUCACCCUCACCUUCCUGGCCCGUAGUCUGACGUUGGCUAACCUGCACAUGCACGGGGACUGGCGGGAGUUACAGCUCAGACCGCUUCAGUUCAGAUUGCCGCGCAUGUCCGUCUUCGACUCCAUGUCACACGUUUUAGCGGUGCAACACAGGGUGGCUGAAGCAAUAGACGAGGCAGCCAGUGAAGUGCUGCGUCACAUCCCCCCGAUUGCCCUCACCGUCCAGCAGAAUGUGUCCGAAUCGUUCUAUGACCGCGAAAAGCUGGUGAUAUACGUGUGCGAGAAAGUAUCUAUACUCGAGCAGGCAGCCCUAGAUCAUUUGGCAGUGGCAGUGAUACAACGUGCUUCUGAAGCUGUUCAGGACGAGCUCAUACGUCUGGCUUUGGAAAAACAGCGGAUAGAGAGGUCUACACAGACGCUGAAAAGAAAGCGCAACGUGAGGUUCAAGACAUCAGACUACUCCAUCGACACCAAACAAAUGCGAUCCAUUAGGCUUGGCAUUUCUCAAAUAUAAGAUUAACAAACUGAACUACUGGAACGCCAAGGAGUUGAAGAAGUACUUGGUGGCUACCAAACAAAUGCAAAAUCAGCAAGUCAGGCAAUGUAUACAGUUCAUGCUCGACUCCCGUGAUUUGGGCGUCGACACGAAAGCCGAGUACACCUUCCGCCAGCUGCAGGAAAUAGAGUGGAUAGUCUCUGACGAAAUCCACAACACUUUUCCCAACUCC